rnacentral:rRNA from 1 species
GCCUACGGGAGGCAGCAGUGAGGAAUAUUGGUCAAUGGUCGGGAGACUGAACCAGCCAAGCCGCGUGAGGGAGGAAGGUACAGAGUAUCGUAAACCUCUUUUGUCAGGGAACAAAGGCGGGGACGUGUCCCCGGAUGAGUGUACCUGAAGAAAAAGCAUCGGCUAACUCCGUGCCAGCAGCCGCGGUAAUACGGAGGAUGCGAGCGUUAUCCGGAUUUAUUGGGUUUAAAGGGUGCGCAGGCGGUCUGUUAAGUCAGCGGUCAAAGCCCGGGGCUCAACCUCGGCCCGCCGUUGAAACUGGCAGU